rnacentral:piRNA from 1 species
UGUGGAAGCACACUGACAAUGGUUUGGUCC